ensembl:lncRNA
ACUGUGCUUUUAUUUCACAAAGUAGAAAUACACAAAGAACAAAAGAGGUUGCUAAAGGCCACGAACUAGGAAAAAGACUCAGAGCUGGGACUAGAAAACCACAGAGAAAGGCAGCAGCAAUUAUCAGAGAAUAGAAGAGGUUUAGUUUGAAAAGAAGCUAAAAAACUUCAACUCCAUGACUUGGAGAAAAAAUGCUGCCAUUUAUGAAAAUAAACUGUCUUGGUUUGUCUUUGGCAACCUAAGACAUAAACCCAAAGCCUUCAAGAGUGGUAAAAGGCAGAUGAACAGGAAAAAAAACCCUGUUCAUAAAUUUCUAGUUCUACAAGAACUAGGAGUUACCAAUGAAAUAAGGUGGCGAAAAAGAAAGUUUCUUCUGUGAAUUUGCUUCAUCUAUCAAGGCUACUAAAUGCAGUGAUGCAGAUGCUGUUUCCUUUCUGCAAGCCCUUCAAAGAGUGGUUGGUGAGGUCUGGAGCAGUACAGCAGAGGAGCUGCACACCCUGCUCAGCACAGCCCCGUCAGACAGGGGGUGGCAGGUGGUCCAACAUCACAGCACAGGGCUGCCACACUGGUGAGGAGACCGCUUAACUUACGGUUACAGGGACUGACUUACCUCAAAGACCAAAAUUUAGGAAUUUUGAUCAGACCCUCUACUGAUUUUAAUCAGCAGGGACCUGAUGAAAUGACAGAAGCACUCAUUACUGCAAGAGUGGCUGCAGUAUGAGAGCUGGUUCCAGCUUUUUAAAGCAACCAGCUACAGUCCUCGUCCUGUUUCCUCAUGUCCAAACUCCUGAGGGCUUUCUAUUCUGACUCCCAAGGACACUGGCUUUUUGUUUGUUUGUUUGUAGGGCACGAUGUAAGCAUAUCUUUCUUGAAGCAGUCUGUGCAAUGAGCUUCACAGAGCUGGAAGAUAACAGUUUAAUCAGUGCCAUGGCAGCUUGGCAAUACUGUCUUCUAUUAAAUCUGAAGAUUAAAUGCCAAUGUCUUUUAGGCAUCACAAUUCUAUAACUACUGAAAUUUUCUUGCUGCUGAAAUGCAUUUUGCAGUAAAAUCCAAGAUUUAUUUUCCCCAUCAGAGAGAAAGCUGUAGGAUUUUUUUACUAUUAAAACAUAACAAAAUGAAUAUAACAUUUUUUUACCAAUAUUUGCUGUACAGAAGGUCUCCAAUCUUCAUGACUCUGACUAAAGAAGUUACUAUCAUCCAACUUUUGAAGUUUCCUGUAAUUGCUCUACAUGAAAAUCUGUAUUUUGAGAUCUUCUGAAGAGUGAUAAGUAUAAAAUAAGAACACAGUUCUUAAUAAUUUGAGGUGCUGCAAAAGUAGACUUACAUCCAGGUUAAUGUCAGACUCAAAAUACUAGAAAACUUUGAAAAGACCCAGUGGCAGCUUAUUAACAAAUAUACUAUUUAUAAUGAAUGCAUUGAUACAGAAUGACUCUUAUAAAAAAGCAAGGCAAUCUUUUAUAUAGACAUAACAACAUUACAAUAAUUCAGAUUAAAAGUACAUUUUUGUAGACUGUUUACACUCUCACUUAGCUUUUAACCACAAAUUAGCGUGGUCUGAUAUUUUUCCACAGCAAAGGUCCUGUGCAGUCCUGGUUAAGAUCUAAAUCAAAAUAAUAAUAAACAUAUUUUUUAAAAUAUUUGCUAAUAUGAAAACAAAUCCAUUCGUAGAUCCUAUCAUUUGUUUUUAAUCGUCCUUACUGUGCCUUGAAGUUUGUGUUGUGCAAAUUACCAACUGCACAUUUCUAAUUAGAAGCUUUUUUGGCAUUUCUUUUGAUACAGCUGAGGUGUGACACUGGCAGGAAAAUUCUUCGUUGCAUCCAGAUAUGAAACGUCUCCUGACAUGAAUUUGUGCUGAUUUAGAAGUUUAAUUUAUUUUUGGGUUUAAAAAAAAAGUGGGGAGAAAAAAUAACCUCUCAACGCUUUCUAAUUGUUAAAUAAAAGAGAUUUUUCAAUCUCCAAGGAUUGAAGAUGACACGUGAAUUCCAGGUAACACAAUGGGUUUAAGCACUAACCAGAGAGACAAUCCAAGUACCAACUGUCUAAAUCAUGAGCAAACACAACCUUCAAGACGUCUAAAUAUGCAUGUUCCUAAAAAUACUAAAUCAAGGAGAGGCACUGAAACGAAUAUUCUACAAUCCAAAUCUUUCUAAAAAGGGUGCAUGAAGGUCAAAAUGGAAAGUCCCAAUUAUACAACUCUGUGACCCAACUUAACAAGCAGCAAUUCCACUGCACUUACACCAGACAAUUUUGGUGACAAAUUUGAAUAUGGGACAGUGAGAGAUAUAACAUUUAAAACCUUAUGCUAAAAAACUUUUGCAAAGAAUUAUCAAAUUCUUAUUUAGUAAAUUAAAAUGCAAUAUGCAAUGAACAUGAGUCACAACAGCAACUGUUCCUUCUUUUCAUGGUUUAGCAAAUCUCUGAUCUGCUUUUUACCUUUCUAGACUUCCAAAAUACUACAUAGUCUAUAAUAAUUUAGCUUGUUAAAUCAAGGCAUGAUUCAAGAUAGUGUCUAUGGGGCAUAAGUAUGUAUGCACACAGGCACAGACACAUAAAAUUGACAUUUUGGCUAUGGACAAGUAAUCAAGGUCAUGAUUUUCACUCAAAGUAAAAACUGUCAUAUUUUUCAAUUUAAUUUUUUGUUCUAAAUUUUCCUCUGUAUAGCAAAGAGAAUAAACAUUUAAUACAAGUAUCUGGGAAUCACUUGUUUCUCAUUCUUAUUUUCAAAAAUGCUGUAAAUCAUUUAUUUCUCCACACUGUCUAUGCUUUCAUACAGGUAUAGAUACACAAAUACAUUUUUGUAUUUAUGUAUACAUACAGUUGUCAGAAUGAAGUUCUUUCCAUUCAUAUUUUAACUGAUAUGGGCAAAUAAAAUUCUUAAACAUGUGUAAGCCAGUAUAUUUGUUCAACUGAAUGUCACCAGGCAAUAAAACCAUCUAGAAUAUACACCAGUUAACAGUGCAGCAUCCUGGGAAAUGCAAAAGCCUGUCAUUUCAGGAGGUAAGAAUAUUUUGAAUGAUCAAAAUGGCUGGAUUUAUAUGGAUCUAUGUAUAGAUCUGGAUAUAAAUCCAUGUGUUGUACUUACAUGGAUUUAUAUGCAUGUAUUCUCAAUCUGUGCCAGAUAUUUAAAGCUUUAAACUUUUCAGAUUCUUCUGACUUGAUUUCUCCUGCACAAGAACUUCUCUCACACUGUCCUUACUCAAAUCUCCCUUGAGACACUGAAAAAAUAAGCAUUCACCUCAAAGUGUAUAAAAUUAAACUCCUAAAACAGGGCUCAGGAUUAUCUGGCAUUGCAACAACCAUACAAAGAUAGUUUGAAAAAAAAUAUCCUGUUUUUAAUAUAGCAAUGAAUUAAAACAUAGCUUUAUUUAUUCCUAUAAGUGUACUGAAAAGAAUAGCUUGUUUUUGAGUGUAACGAGCACUGUUUUGGUAGCCAACUUCUCCACAGGAAUUUAUGUGAGAGGGUCAGCUCCAAUCAUACAGUCAUUAACCAUGUACCUUAACAAGGUGAAUAAUCAACAUAUUUACAAACUAAACAAAUUCAAUCCCUUGAACUCUUAUAAAAACGGGAUUGAGGAGCAGACAGGGAAUGAGACCAAGACGUUUGGAAACACAAGGGGUCGCCACUUUUGCUUUAAGGAACCAUAUUAAUCAAACCAGUUUCCCCCCUAGUGACCUGAGGGCACAAACACAGACUUUGCAGUAUAUUCAGAACUUCGAUUACAGUCUUGAUACCAAGCAUUUCAGCAUCUUCAUAUUUUAAUACCUUAGUGCUGAGAAAGAUUAACUCAGGCAGAACUGUAAGGAACUAGCCUUUUAUAAACUAAAGUCUAAACUGAAAAGCUACAGUAGAUGUAAAAAAAAAAAAAAAAAA